rnacentral:misc_RNA from 1 species
GAUGGAACGUAGCGAAAUGCGAUAAGUAAUGUGAAUUGCAGAAUUCAGUGAAUCAUCGAAUCUUUGAACGCAUCUUGCGCUCCUUGGUAUUCUGAGGAGCAUGCCUGUUUGAGUGUCAUUAAAUUCUCAACUACACUGACUUUGAAUUGGUGUGGCUUGGAUUUGGGGGGAAAAUUGUUGUGGGCUUUUUGUAUAGUCUGCUCCCCUGAAAUUGAUUAGCGGUACCUUUGUGGAACUGUCUACAGGUGUGAUAAUUAUCUACAUCUUAGACAUCUGCUGGAAUGCUGCUUUCUAAACCUUACUUGUAUUGACAAUCUUGACCUCAAAUCAGGUAGGACUACCCGCUGAACUUAAGCAUAUCAAUAAGCGGAGGA